rnacentral:rRNA from 1 species
UACGUAGGCAGCGAGCGUUGUUCGGAGUUACUGGGCGUAAAGAGUGCGUAGGCGGUUUUCUAAGUUUGGUGUGAAAUCUCCCGGCUCAACUGGGAGGGUGCGCCGAGACUGGAAGGCUUGAGUAUGGGAGAGGUAAGCGGAAUUCCUGGGUGUAGCGGUGAAAUGCGUAGAUAUCAGGAGGAACACCUGGCGGUGUAGACGGCUUACUGGACCAUGAACUGACGCUGA